rnacentral:rRNA from 1 species
UUGGAGGGCAAGUCUGGUGCCCGCAGCCGCGGUAAUUCCAGCUCCAAUAGCGUAUAUUAAAGUUGUUGCAGUUAAAAAGCUCGUAGUUGAAUUUCGGGAUCAAAUUGUCGGUCGUGCCUCGGUACGCACUGGUAUUAUUGGGUUCCCUACCCUUCUGAAGAACCGCGAUGUCAUUAAUUUUGGGUGUCGGUGGGGGAAUCAAGGACUGGUACACUUGGAAAAAAUAGAGUGUGUUUAAAGCCAGGGCUAACGCCUGGAUAUCACUUAACCAUGGAAUAUAAUGAAAUAGAGAGUUUUGAAUUCUAUAUUUUGGUGGGGUUCUUAGGAAUGGCGUUAUGGAUUAAAUAGGGGAUAAGUUGGGGGGCUUUAUUUUUUCCAUUUUGACAAGGGGAAAUUUUGGGGAUUAUUUGAAAAACUAAUUCCCGGAAAGCUUCUCCCAGGAGAUUUUUUUCUUUAUCAAAAAACAAAAUUAUGGGGAUCAAAAAAAAUAAAAACCCCCGCUAUCCUUAACCUAAAAAAAUUGCCCCCAAGGGAGUCGGAGAAAGUUAAUUUUUUUAAGAGGCCCUUCGCGC